rnacentral:rRNA from 1 species
GGAGCGACGCCGCGUGGAUGAAGAAGGCCGAAAGGUUGUAAAAUCCUUUUGCUGGGGAAGAAUAAGUCUGGGAGGGAAUGCCCGGAUGAUGACAUGAACCGGCGAAUAAGCCCCGGCCAACUACGUGCCAGCAGCCGCGGUAACACGUAGGGGGCGAGCGUUGUUCGGAAUUACUGGGCGUAAAGGGCAUGUAGGCGGUUUUGUAAGCUUGGCGUGAAAGUCCACGGCUCAACUGUGGGAUAGCGUUGAGAACUGCGAAGCUUGAGUUAUGGAGAGGGAGCUAGAAUUCCUGGUGUAGGGGUGGAAUCUGUAGAGAUCAGGAAGAAUACCAAUGGCGAAGGCAAGCUCCUGGCCGAUGACUGACGCUGAGGUGCGAAAGUGUGGGGAUCAAACAGGAUUAGAUACCCUGGUAA